UAUAGCGUAUAUUAAAGUUGUUGCAGUUAAAAAGUCUCGUAGUCGGAUGUCGGGCUCGGGCAGGCUGUCGGCUUCGGUCGGACGGCAGGCUCGGGUCUUUCUGCCUGAGGAUCCCGUGCACUUUAUUGUGGGCGGGGGACGCAGGCCGUUUACUUUGAAAAGAUUAGAGUGUUCAAAGCAGGCCUACGCUUGAAUACAUUAGCAUGGAAUAAUGGAAUAGGACUUUGGUGCUAUUUUGUUGGUUUAUGGGACCGAAGUAAUGAUUAACAGGGACAGUUGGGGCCGUUUAUAUUUCGUUGUCAGAGGUGAAAUUCUUGGAUUUACGAAAGAUAAACUUCUGCGAAAGCAUUCGGCAAGGAUGUUUUCAUUGAUCAAGAACGAAAGUUAGGGGAUCGAAGACGAUCAGAUACCGUCGUAGUCUUAACCAUAAACUAUGCCGACUAGGGAUCAGUGGAUGUCAAUUUGCGACUCCAUUGGCACCUUGUGAGAAAUCAAAGUUUUUGGGUUCCGGGGGGAGUAUGGUCGCAAGGCUGAAACUUAAAGGAAUUGA
rnacentral:rRNA from 1 species